rnacentral:misc_RNA from 1 species
UAACAAGCGGAUCCAGAAGCGGAUUGCUGUGCUGCGGGAAGCGGAAGAGGCGCUGGAGAAGACUCUUGAACUGCUCUCUGAACGAACUCGGCGAAGCCUGGAUAACCGCAUCCGACGUGUCUUCGAGAGGUCUUCUCUGAAGGAUUACACGCCGGAACUGACUCCGGACUUUGAACUCGAGCUGUGGAUCGGAUCGGGGGAGGAGCGCCGGCGUGCUCCUAAAUCGACUGGCGAGAACAUGCUGCUCUCGCUGGCGUUCGU